CAUCUUAAAAAGAAACAACAUUCGGCGACAUCGGUUAUACCUGUAGCGCAAGUUUUUUUAACUCGUACUUUAAGUCGAAUAAAAUUACCAUGUUUGCAAUCUGCUGCUGGCUGCCGUGAAACGUCCACGUUAAGACGAAAUUAUAUAAGGCGGUAUUCACACUCUGGAUCAGCUGUUGACGUAAAAUCUCCGUCUGAAAUAUGUAAUUUGGCGUGCCUUUUCAUUGGCUGAAAAUCUCAAGAUCACUAAAUCCAGGAACCACCUAAGCUCUAAUUAAAGCAAUAUGUAAACUUAAAUGUAUAAAAAAAACUCGAAUUGUAAAUAAAUACCCGCCUUGACAUAAGUAUACAUAGAACAUUAGUAGAGAGAAGAUAACAAUGAAAAAUGGAUGUUUUUGUCUGACAAUGCAAAUUGGUGGAGUAAAAAAAAAUAAAAAGAGAGAGAG